rnacentral:rRNA from 1 species
UACGUAGGGUGCGAGCGUUUAAUCGGAAUUACUGGGCGUAAAGGGUGCGCAGGCGGUUAUAUAAGACAGAUGUGAAAUCCCCGGGCUCAACCUGGGAACUGCGUUUGUGACUGUAUGACUAGAGUACGGUAGAGAGGGGUGGAAUUCCUGGUGUAGCAGUGAAAUGCGUAGAUAUCAGGAGGAACAUCGAUGGCGAAGGCAGCCCCUUGGACCUGUACUGACGCUCAUGCACGAAAGCGUGGGGAGCAAACAGG